rnacentral:rRNA from 1 species
UACGUAGGGGGCUAGCGUUGUCCGGAAUCAUUGGGCGUAAAGAGCGUGUAGGCGGCUCGGUAAGUCCGCUGUGAAAGUCCAGGGCUCAACCCUGGAAUGCCAGUGGAAACUGUCGAGCUAGAGUCCGGAAGAGGCGAGUGGAAUUCCUGGUGUAGUGGUGAAAUGCGCAGAUAUCAGGAGGAACACCAAUGGCGAAGGCAGCUCGCUGGGACGGUACUGACGCUGAGACGCGAAAGCGUGGGGAGCAAACAGG